rnacentral:rRNA from 1 species
GUACAUGCUUACAUCAUAGCUUUAAUGCAUCGGAUCCCAUUAGAAAUCCACAAUUAAGUGCACUCGGGAUAGAGUAGUACUGGGAUGGGUGAAUUCCCAAGAAUUCAUAGUGUUUUAC